UACGUAGGGGGCGAGCGUUGUCCGGAUUUAUUGGGCGUAAAGAGCUCGUAGGCGGUUACGUAAGUCGGGUGUGAAAGCCCCAGGCUCAACCUGGGGAUGCCACUUGAUACUGCGUUGACUAGAGUCUGGUAGGGGAUCACGGAAUUCCUGGUGUAGCGGUGAAAUGCGCAGAUAUCAGGAGGAACACCGGUGGCGAAGGCGGUGAUCUGGGCCAGUACUGACGCUGAGGAGCGAAAGCGUGGGUAGCAAACAGG
rnacentral:rRNA from 1 species